rnacentral:rRNA from 1 species
AUUGAACGCUGGCGGCAUGCCUUACACAUGCAAGUCGAACGGCAGCACGGGUGCUUGCACCUGGUGGCGAGUGGCGAACGGGUGAGUAAUACAUCGGAACGUACCUUAUCGUGGGGGAUAACGCAGCGAAAGCUGUGCUAAUACCGCAUACGCCCUGAGGGGGAAAGCGGGGGAUCGCAAGACCUCGCGCGAUUAGAGCGGCCGAUGCCUGAUUAGCUAGUUGGUGGGGUAAAAGCCCACCAAGGCGACGAUCAGUAGCUGGUCUGAGAGGACGAUCAGCCACACUGGGACUGAGACACGGCCCAGAAUCCUACGGGAGGCAGCAGUGGGGAAUUUUGGACAAUGGGGGCAACCCUGAUCCAGCAAUGCCGCGUGAGUGAAGAAGGCCUUCGGGUUGUAAAGCUCUUUUGUCAGGGAAGAAACACCGGCUCUAACACAGUCCGGGAAUGACGGUACCUGAAGAAUAAGCACCGGCUAACUCUGUGCCAGCAGCCGCAGUAA